CAGGUGUUUUUAUUGAAAGAUCUUUAGAUAGCCUGUAUGUUCCUGGAGGACAGCACUAUGGGACGAGAGGUUCUCAAGGCAGAAUGCAGCACACUGCUUAGUAAAGUUGCCGAGCUGAUUCCUGUUGUUAUGUCAGAUGAAGCAGCCAGAAAUGGGCCGUUGUGCUACCAGACUGUCAAGGUUUGUUUGCAGGUGUUUCAGCUGCUGCCAGGGCAGGCGGCUCUGUUGGUCUACAGUAAGGAUAGUGUAAAUAUGAGUGUGAGAGAUAUUUUGGAGUU